UUCGUAUUGCACGGAGAAGGUAACACGGUUGUCUACGACCGUAGAUGUGCGGCAGAUAAUAUUGCGACCGAGAAUCACCCACUCACUCGCCUUCUCCUCGCUUCGUCGUCUACAUAACCCGGCCGCUCUGUUCUCGUGCUCCCUCUUCCACUCGUCUCGCCAUUAAUUAAAGCUCCGGAAAACAAUUUCCCUCUCCCAAAUCCUCCAGAUAUAGCCCCCCUACCACACCCCAGCAAACUCUCACGCGCGCGCGAAGCAUCGGCUCUGCUGGAUCCCCCCCUUUGCCUGGGCAUUUGAUUUUCCCCCGAAUUUCCCAUCAUUUUGGGUUUAUCGGCCAUCUGUGGCGGCAGCUCGGGAUAGGGCUCGCGGGGAUGAGGUUGCAUGGGGAUGUGUCGGAUGAUGAAGAGGAGGGUGCGGUGAUGGAUCCGGCACUGCUGUCUCCGUCAUCGCCGCCCGCCGGUGCGGCGGCGGCGGCUGCGUCGAGGCUGGUGGUGGGCUACGCCCUCACGAAGAAGAAGGUUAAGAGCUUCCUCCAGCCCAAGCUGCUCCUGCUGGCGAGGAAGAAAGGAAUUAGUUUCAUAUCAAUUGAUGAGACUCGUCCUCUCUCAGAACAAGGCCCAUUUGAUAUCAUCUUGCACAAGAAAACUAGCAAGGAGUGGCAGCGGUUUCUGGAGGAUUAUCAUGAAGUGCAUCCAGAAGUCACUGUCCUCGACCCACCCAAUGCCAUUGAGCAUCUGAACAAUCGACAAUCGAUGCUUGAAGAAGUAGCAGAUUUGAACCUGUCCAGUUUCUAUGAAGAAGUUUGCACUCCACGCCAACUGGUCAUUAUGAAAGAUCCGUCCUCUAUACCAACUGCAGUUGCCAUGGCUGGGCUAACCUUGCCAUUGGUUGCCAAGCCAUUGGUUGUUGAUGGAACAUCUAAAUCUCAUGAGCUAUCUCUGGCAUACGAUGAGGCGUCCUUGCCAAUGCUUGAUCCUCCUCUGGUACUCCAGGAAUUUGUGAAUCAUGGUGGGAUCCUCUUUAAGGUGUACAUCAUUGGUGAAGCUAUACAGGUUGUCCGCAGGUUUUCUCUUCCUGAUGUUAAUACCUAUGACUUACUAAACAAUGUUGGCAUCUAUCGACUUCCAAGAGUUUCAUGCGCUGCAGCAAGUGCAGAUCAUGCAGACCUUGAUCCUCGUAUUGCAGAGCUUCCUCCGAGACCACUUCUAGAGAAACUAGGCAGGGAGCUUCGUGGUCGUCUGGGUCUAAGAUUGUUCAACAUAGAUAUGAUUAGAGAGCUUGGAGCAAAUGACCGGUACUAUAUAAUUGAUAUCAACUACUUCCCAGGGGUAUCUUCUCUUCUCCACUACCCAAGGUUGGCUUGGCUGGGGCAUGAGUAGUCUUGCUAAUUGUAUGUUGUUCAUCCGGGUGCAGAUUGUUCUUAACCAUUACAGGUAACUUCAUCCAAGGUGAAGAUUGUUAGGAAUAUGACAUGUAAAUCAUGCAAGACAUUUUAAUGCUGUGUAGUUUUAUUGAUGCUGUCAGAUCAGUUCCUAUGGAGACAGCAAUACACGCUACCACAGAAGUUGCUUUUGUUUUGUUCAGUUAAAUGGGCAAGUCUUGCAUGUAAAAUUACAGUGAAAACGUCAUGGUCUUGACUCUUGACGAUUUCACAGCAUGGAUAUGGGAAAAUGCCUGGCUAUGAGCACAUAUUCACCGAUUUCUUGCAAAGUCUUGGGCAAAACAAAUACCAAAGGUGCUUGAGCGGAGGCUGAAGCGUUGGUAGCCAUACUUGUUCACUAAUGUGCAUAUCUUGGAUACAUAAGCUGGAGCCCAAGGCUUGAAGUCCAAAACUUACAUGUUUUGUAAGAAGUGGCGCCACAUACAUCACGGUUGGUCGGGAGUAGGGGGAGAGAAAGAACUCGAAUGGCCUUGUGCCCAUCUUGUAUAAAUCACGGUUGUUUUGAUCAUAGUUUGGUCUCAAAUGCUUUCAUCAAACAGGAUCAGCACCAUCAACCUACCAUGUAUGAUAUUGAUCAGUUAAGCUACAUACGGUGCAUCACAGUAAGCAAUAUUCAAAAUAAGACAGCA